AUAAUACUAGAUAGGCAAUUUUUCCUGGAAUGGUUUUUUGUUUAAAUGUUUUUUCGCCUAAGGAUGGGUCUGCGGCCGAUUAGGUAGUUGGUUAGGUAACGGCUUACCAAGCCAUUGAUCGGUACGGGUUGUGAGAGCAAGAGCCCGGAGAUGGAACCUGAGACAAGGUUCCAGGCCCUACGGGGUGCAGCAGGCGCGAAACCUCCGCAAUGUGAGAAAUCGCGACGGGGGGAUCCCAAGUGCCAUUCUUAACGGGAUGGCUUUUCAUUAGUGUAAAGAGCUUUUGGAAUAAGGGCUGGGCAAGACCGGUGCCAGCCGCCGCGGUAACACCGGCAGCUCUAGUGGUAGCAGUUUUUAUUGGGCCUAAAGCGUCCGUAGCCGGUUUAAUAAGUCUCUGGUGAAAUCCUGUAGCUUAACUGUGGGAAUUGCUGGAGAUACUAUUAGACUUGAGACCGGGAGAGGUUAGAGGUACUCCCAGGGUAGAGGUGAAAUUCUGUAAUCCUGGGAGGACCGCCUGUUGCGAAGGCGUCUAACUGGAACGGUUCUGACGGUGAGGGACGAAAGUUAGGGGCGCGAACCGGAUUAGAUACCCGGGUAGUCCUAACUGUAAACGAUGCGGACUUGGUGUUGGGGUGGCUUUGAGCUGCUCCAGUGCCGAAGGGAAGCUGUUAAGUCCGCCGCCUGGGAAGUACGGUCGCAAGACUGAAACUUAA
rnacentral:rRNA from 1 species